CCAGUGCCAAACCACCCAAGUCGGUAGUUUUUCAGCCUCAAAACUCCCUCAAACCCAGUCAAGUUGGCAUUCUCAGAGCUCCCAUGCGCCCGUGUGAGUUCCUGAGGCCAAGCACCACUAGGUUAGUAACCCCUAGCCUCAAAGCUUUGUGCGUCAGUGGCCUUGCUCCCAUGUGCUUCCCAACAAAAAAACUCAACUAGCCCAAUCGGUGACUUCCCAACAUCGGUACAACUCGAUCGAUGAUCUCCCAUCGCCAACCCCCU
rnacentral:lncRNA from 1 species